rnacentral:rRNA from 1 species
GACGGAGGAUGCAAGUGUUAUCCGGAAUCACUGGGGCGUAAAGCGUCUGUAGGUGGUUUAAAAAGUCUAUUGUUAAAAAUUGAAGCUUAACUUCAAAGAUGCAAUGGAAACUUUUAAACUUGAGUAUGGUAGGGGUAGAGGGAAUUUCCAGUGGAGCGGUGAAAUGCGUAGAUAUUGGAAAGACCACCAAUGGCGAAGGCACUCUACUGGGCCAUUACUGACACUGAGAGACGAAAGCUAGGGGAGCAAAUGGG